CGAGGUGUAGCGCAGUUUGGUAGCGCACAUGGUUUGGGACCAUGGGGCCGGGGGUUCGAGUCCCUCCACCUCGA
rfam:[Clostridium] litorale DSM 5388 strain W6 CLIT_24c, whole genome shotgun sequence.